UUCUUGUGUUUUCCCCUCCCUGUUGCUGAGUCCCCAUCCGCACCAACCCUAGCCGCCAUGCACAUCUCCUUUGGCCAUCCGCACCAACCCUAAGCCGCCAUGGACAUCUCCUUUGGCCACAUCUCGGUCUACGGAGUUGUGAUGGGUGUCAAUUUGUCUUGCUCCUCAAUCUUAGCAGAUGAUGAAUUUGCCUGUUGUGAUUGGGUGUAGAUGAGACUGGGAGCAAGGCAUGUCGGGUGGGGGAGCCAGGCCGAGGUUGCAACCAAGCACCUCACUUCAUCAGAACAACAGAGUCAACAGGGAGCAGAUCAACUCUGAAACUACCGAAAAGUUCCAAGUUUUCAGUUCCAAAUUUUAGCAUUGGAAGCCUCAAGGCUCACAUCGUACUAGAGAUCAUGCCGGUAGGCAAGUAGAGUGAAUGAAGGCAGAUGUUUUUAGCAAAAAGACUGAUUGAUACAUUAUCGAUUCCAUCUGGAUUAUGCCUAGGGCACUCUGGCCCCACAUUCUCCAUGAGCAAAUAGGCGAGGAAGCCUGAGUGAGAAUCCUCAUUGCCCUAGUGAAGAAACCUUUGCAGGAAACCUGGUAUUCCCUCUCGCCUAUCUGCUACGCCGACCCAUGUGCAAGGAAGGUAUGUCAUGAUUCUAGCCUUCUAGGGCUAUCAUUUUGGUUUAAUAUUAAUUAUCAGAAUUGAAUGUGUGAAAAAUAUAUUGUUUGAAUUGUAGAAGGUAAAAUUUCAUAUAAUCAAGUGUAGCAGCAGCAAGAUAAUGGCCGAUUUUGAUUUAUCAAAUACAUCAUGAAACAAGCCAGUUUCUUCUACCAACUAGAGGAGAAAUAAAUUUUUUGUCGCAGAGUUCUAAUACUCAUCUUGAUUCAGAAAACAAGCUUAUUGGACAGAAAUGUAGAAGGUAUAUGUGUGAUAAUAUUUUGCAGUUCAUCCUUGAUAUAACUGAAGAGCCGUGCCAUAAUGACCACCUAGCUUCAUCAUUAGCAGGGGAAAUAUAAAAAAUUGAACAUCCAACUGUCACAUUUUAUUCAUUCUGUAACAGAUGCAGAUGGACUUCAAAUGCAGUGUAUAGUUCAUCUCCUACUCGGAGUGCCAAACCCAACUAAAGAACAACUAUCUGAACUUGGUUGGCAUAACGAAUGCCAACAUGCAGACAUAACACAAAACAAAAUAUCAUGACACAAAUGUAUAAAAAUAGCCAAUUGGUAUAUCAGUCAUAGCACUAGAGGCUUAACUAUUUUUGCUCACAUCAAUAGGACACAAUUCAUUUGUUUUAGCCUUAUCAUUCUUCCUCGGUAUGGAGUUGCACAAGCAUGCUAGGAAUGUUUUUCUUCCUAAAAUUAUGGUAUUUUGCACAUACACACCAAAAUUAUGAUUUUGGACAAUACAUACCAGUAACAGUGUAACACUUCAUAUGCAUGCACUUGUUGGACAAACAAAUGCCAAACUGUCAUGAGAUGAGUAUAUAAAUGCUAUGUGCAAUACAUGUUAUAGGGACGGACAAUCACAAAUGUAAUAAUUAGACUCAAUAUAUGUUGAUGGAAGAUAUUUAUAGUAGUUGUGUUCACUACCAUUGCAUUUUUAUUAUCAUCUACUCCCUUUUUUUGGCACUACUUCUUAUGCUAGUGUGUAAAUUGGGGUGGAUCUAGGCCCUAGCCUGGCGAGGCUACAUCUUGUGACUUGCAUAAAAGAUUGAUUGAUACAUUAUCAAAUGCAUCUGGAUUUGCCCAGGGCACUCUGGCCCAUAGCCGACACUUUCACCACGAGCAAAGAGGAAGCACGAGCAAGAUGCCAUCCUCAUUGCCCUACUGAAGAAACCUUGGGAGGAAACACUCGUACGAUGCACCUGGCAUGCUCUCUCGCCUGUCUGCUACGCCGACCCAUGUGCAAGGAGGGAGCGAGGCCAUGUCGAGUGAAGGAGGUUGCAACGGGAACAACUUCGGUGACAUAAUAACUAGAUGAUUUGGGGCUGAGGAGAUGGUACGACAAUAGAUGAGGCUGAUGAGAUAUGGGUUCGGUCAUCGCUUUCUUGAGUGGAUUGCCAUCCUGCUGUCCUCGGCGAGCACUCGGGUCCUAUUGAACGGCAUGCCAGGACCUCCGAUUUGGCACAAAGAAGGGCUGCGGCAGGGCGACUCUCUGUCCCCGCAGCUAUUCGUUCUCGCGGUUGACACCCUCGGCCGGCUGAUUCAACGCGCCCACGACGCGGGCAUCCUCCUGCCGUUGCACCCGCGGAGGCCUAUUCCGGCGAUAUCACUAUACGCAGACGACGUCAUGCUAUUCUGCCAUGCCACGGAGAGCGACAUAACUGCGGUCAAGGAAAUCCUUGGCCUGUUCGGCGGAGCAUCCGGCCUCAAAGUUAACUACGCGAAGAGCUCGGCCACGGUCUUGCAUGGAGAGCCGGCUGCCACUGAGAUCAUCACCGGCCUGGGUUGUUCGACCGCUGCGCUCCCUGUCACCUACCUCGGCAUACCCCUGACGACGCGCCGCCCGACCGCCGGUCAGUUGCAACCCUUGGUCGAAAGGGUCGCCGGGCGCUUGCCCACCUGGAAAGCAUGGCUUAUGAACAGAGCCGGCAGGCUAAGUCGGUCCUCUGCGCGAUCCCGGUGCACCAGCUGCUUGCGUUUGCCCCCACGAAGAAAACUCUGCGGCAGCUCGAGAAGAUUCAACGGGGAUUCUUAUGGGCUGGGCGAGCCGUCGCCAACGGUGGUCACUGCCAUGUGAACUGGCGCCUCGUCUCCCGCCCCCUCGAGCUUGGGGCCUCGGGGUUCGUGAUCUCGAGCGCACCGGGCUCGCGCUCAGACUGCGGUGGCUUUGGCUCUCGCGAACUGAUGAUGGACGCGCCUGGCAAGGGCUGGAUCUUCAAUUCUCCUGCCAUGAGCGCUCCCUGUUCUUUGCCUCCACCGUCAUGGCCAUUGGGAACGGCAUGAAAGCCUUGUUCUGGGAGGACCGUUGGCUCAACGGGCGCUCCGUCGGCGAGCUCAUGCCCCUGCUCUACAACUGCGUCCCCAAACGACGGCGCAAGGUGAGAACGGUGGCCGAAGGCCUCAACGGCAACGCUUGGGCCCGUGACAUCCAGGGCGUUCUCGGCCUCCACGAGAUCGGUCAGUACCUGCAGCUCUGGCACCUCGCGCAGCAGGCCACACUCCGCGAUGCCCCCGAUCAACUGAUCUGGAAGUGGACCACGAGCGGCAUCUAUUCUGCGCAGACUUGCUACCUGGCCACCUUCCAAGGAUCCACGCACUCCUACUCCUGGAAGCUGAUCUGGAAGGCAUGGGCUCCCCAGAGGGUCAAGUUCUUCCAUUGGCUUGCUAACCUGGAUCGCUGCUGGACCGCCGACCGUCUAGCCUGCCAUGGCCUGCAGCAUCAUACGAGCUGUCUUCUGUGCGAUCAGGCACCUGAAACGAUGCGGCACCUCUUGCUUGACUGCCCCUUCUCGAGGCAGGUAUGGCACGAGACCCUGGCGUGGCUGCGCAUCCCAGCGCCGAUCCCUAAUUAGGAGCCCACCCUCAUGGACUGGUGGCAACACGCCAAGCACGACACGCCACGAGCACAACGCAAGGCCCUGCAAUCUGUAGCGCUCCUAGUACCGUGGCUCGUCUGGAAGCAUAGGAACAGCUGCGUUUUCGAUAACGCGACGCCUUCCCUCGGCACGCUCGUCGACCGGAUCAAGGAGGAAGCCGGCUCUUGGGCCAAGGCCGGAGCGGCAGGCCUUAGAGUAGUCCUUCCCCCUUCAUGGGACGUGCACUGAGCCUUGUAUCCCAUCCUCACUUUACUCGUCCUAGGAUGAUUGUAACUGACUUCCUUCCUGUUCAAUGAAAAGCAACGCAAGGUCUUUUGCGUUUUCUCGAAAAAAGGCUGAUGAGAUGGUACGGCACACACACUGCUGCCUGUGAGAUCCAGCACAGAUGGCUGAAGCCCCAUCUGCAGCCAUUUUUUCCUCCUAUUCAUUGAUAUAUGCAACUAGCUUAUUUUUGCCAUGAAACACUAGCUUAUUUACAUGCUUGUAAGUAAUCAAGCAGUUAUUCCUUGAAUUUCUGGCGCCUACACUCCUUUUACUGCCUGUAAGUGAUACAUGCUGCUCAUGUUUCAUUUUUAAAACUAGCAAGACUCGGUGCCAUUGGUGAUGGAAGAUAUUUUUAGCAGUUCUGUUCACUACCAUUGUAUUAUCAUCUACACCUUUUUUUGUGCCUACUACUUACUAGUGUAGAUGGGGGCGUGUCUAGGCGCUAGGCUGAUGAGGUUACAUUGUGUGACUUGCAGAAUAGAUUGAUUGUGCAUUACCGAUUGGCACUCUGGCCCAAAGCUGACGUGUUCUCUACGAGCAAAGAGCUGAGGAAUCCCAAGCGGGAUGCUAUCCUCGUUGCCUAGUGAAGAAACCCUGGGAGGAAACACUGUGACACACCUGCAUUCCCUCUCGCCUAUCUGCUAGCCCAACCCAUGUGCAAGAUAUACACCAAAAUUACGAUAUUGUGCGCAUAUACACCAGCAACAAUGGAACACUUGAGCUAUACAUGCAAUGCAUAUUAUAGGUACGAUCAGAAAUGGCAGUGAACAUGGAGGCUGAUGAGGUUACAUCUUGUGACUUGCAGAAAAGAUUGACUGUACAUUACCCAUUGCAUCUGGAUAUGCUCAGGGCACCCUGGCCCACAGCCGAUGCAUUCUCCACGUGCAAAGAGCCGAGGAAGCAUGUCUUCAUUGCCUUGGGAGGAACCCCCUGCUGUUCCCUCGCCUAUGUGCAAACUGUGAUGAUUCUAUACUACUCCCUCCGUCCCAAAAUACUUAUCGAAGAAAUGGAUAAAAUUGGAUAUAUCUAUAACUAAAAUACAUCUAGAUUCAUCCGUUUCUCCGACAAGUAUUUCCGGACGGAGGGAGUAUCAUUUUGGAUGAACUUGGAUAUGCAAAAAUAGAUGAUAUAAGCAGAGUGUUGUAACAGCAAGAUAGCAGCUGUUUUCGAUUUGUCAAAGCUGGAACAAGCCAGUUUCCCAAGACAAGUUGUAUGACAAACGUAGCAGAAACAAGACACGUUUGUAUGACAACAAAGAAUUUGAUGAAUCUACUUCGCACGAUGUUCUUUA